rnacentral:rRNA from 1 species
GACGUAGGGUGCGAGCGUUGUCCGGAUUUAUUGGGCGUAAAGAGCUCGUAGGCGGCUCGUCGCGUCGACCGUGAAAACCCGCGGCUUAACUGCGGGCUUGCGGUUGAUACGGGCGGGCUAGAGUUCGGUAGGGGAGACUGGAAUUCCUGGUGUAGCGGUGAAAUGCGCAGAUAUCAGGAGGAACAUCGGUGGCGAAGGCGGCAUCCUGGACCGGUAUUGACGCUGAGGCGCGAAAGCCAGGGGAGCAAACGGG